rnacentral:rRNA from 1 species
AUUGAACGCUGGCGGCAUGCCUUACACAUGCAAGUCGAACGGUAACAGGUCUUCGGAUGCUGACGAGUGGCGAACGGGUGAGUAAUACAUCGGAACGUGCCUAGUAGUGGGGGAUAACUACUCGAAAGAGUGGCUAAUACCGCAUGAGAUCUACGGAUGAAAGCAGGGGAUCGCAAGACCUUGUGCUACUAGAGCGGCCGAUGGCAGAUUAGGUAGGUGGUGGGAUAAAAGCUUACCAAGCCGACGAUCUGUAGUGGGUCUGAGCGGACGAUCAGCCCAACGGGGCCUGAGACACGGGCCAAACGCAUACGGUAGGCAGCAGUGGGGAAUUUUGGACAAUGGGCGCAAGACUGAUCCAGCAAUGCCGCGUGCAGGAUGAAGGCCUUCGGGUUGUAAACUGCUUUUGUGCGGAACGAAAAGCCCCGGGUUAAUACCCUGGGGUCAUGACGGUACCGUAAGAAUAAGCACCGGCUAACUACGUGCCAGCCGCCGCGGUAA